rnacentral:tRNA from 1 species
GAUUCUGUAGCUCAACUGGUAGAGCACGCCGGUAAUUAAGCCGGUGCUGUUGUUGGUUCGAUUCCAGCCAGAGUCA